rnacentral:lncRNA from 1 species
CUAAAUAAAAAGUUGGACACAAAAAAAAAAAGAGAAGGACUAAAAUGCUAUUAGACCUUCAUGGGUAAUCAUUGUAGCAGCACGGUGUAGAAUAUUACAUAUCACAGAGACACGUUAGCUAGCUAGCUACAACACACAGGUAUUGUUACUCCAAGACCAGUCAUGAGGCUACAGUACAUUUUGGAUAUAGCAAACAAAGCUAGCUCAACUUGUAGUGGUAUUCGCAAGCCCCGACAUGGCCGAAUCGAUCACAAAAAAAGUAUAUAAUGUAUUGAACAACACUGCCUUGUGUAAAAAGAGAGCUUUUAUGUUGCUAGACAGCUAUAGACAGAACGCUCAGGAUGUCAGACUGGACCUUAGACUGACUUCUUUGUGAUUUGCCCGCGGAUCUUGAAGGUUCUGAACAACAUCUCUUGACUUCUCAACCGCCUGGUAGAGCUCCGUUACUCCCCCCAAAAAACAUAAAGUUGAAAAAAAACUAUUGGAAGAUCUUAUUUGAGUAGUUAGUAGUAGGAAUUUAGGCUGAAAUAAUGUUUGAACAUGUUUUUUUAAGAAGAGACAGUUAAAGGGUAAAGAUAACUCAAACACAGUAAUGGGGUGUAACGGCUGUCUUCGGGUAGAGAGGACCAAAACGCAGCAGGAAUGUGGAUGCUCAUCUUGAAUAUUUAUUUUAAAUAAAGUGAACACCAAAACGAAGAACGACAGACCGACAGUUUAACAGGCUAUACUUACUACAGCAGUGCUAAAGACAACUACCCACAAAAUACCAAACCAAACACACACCUAUAUAUAGGACUCUCAUUCAGAGGCAACUAGAAACACCUGCCUCCAAUUGAGUCCAACACCCAAUCCUAAACAUAGAAAAACUAAACUAGACAGAACAUAGAAAUACAUAGAAAACACAAACCCUCUGCCACGUCCUGACUAAAACUAAUACAAUUACUCCCUCUGCUGGUCAGGACGUGACAUGGGGACAAAGUGGAGAGGUCUGGGGUGGCUUCCCCUUAGUAGAAUAAUGACAAAUUUUUCCCUUGAUCCUGGCUAGUCUCCCAGUCCCUGCCGCUGAAAAACAUCCCCACGGCAUGAUGUUGCCACCACCAUGCUUCACCGUAGGGAUGGUGCCAGGUUUCUUACAGAUGUGAAGCUUGGCAUUCAGGGCAAAGAGUUUAAUCUUUGUUUCAUCAGACCAGAGAAUCUUGUUUCUUGGCCACUCCACCAUAAAGGCCUGAUUGGUGGAGUGCUGCAGAGAUGGUUGUCCUUCUGGAAGAUUCUCCCAUCUCCACAGAGGAACUCUGGAGCUCUGUCAGAGUGACCAUCAGGUUCUUGGUCACCUCCUUGACCAAGACCCAUCUCCCCUGAUUGCUCAGUUUGGCCGGGCGGCCAGCUCUAGGAAGAGUCUUGGUGGUUCCAAACUUCUUCCGUUUAAGAAUGAUGGAGGCCACUGUGUUCUUGGAGACCUUCAAUGCUGCAGACAUUUUUUGGUACCCUUCCUCAAAUCUGUGUCACGACAUAAUCCUGUCUCUGAGCUUUACGGACAAUUCCUUCGACCUCAUGGCUUGGUUUUUGCUCUGACAUGCACUGUCAACUGUGUGACCAUAUAUAGACAGGUGUGUGUGCCUUUCCAAAUCAUGUCCAAUCAAUAGAAUUUACCACAGGUGGACUCCAAUGAAGUUGUAGAAACAUCUCAAGGAUGAUCAAUGGAAACAGGAUGCACCUGAGCUCAAUUUCGAGUCUCAUGGCAAAGGGUCUGAAUAUUUCUGUAAAUUAGGUAUUUCUGUUAUUUAUUUUUAAUAAAUGUGCAAAAAUGUUUAAAAAAAAUGUUUUUGCUUUGUCAUUAUGGGGUUUUGUGUGUAGAUUGAUGAGGGAAAUGUUUUAUUUAAUCCAUUUUAGAAUAAGUCUGUAACGUAACAAAACGUGGAAAAAGUCAAGGACUUUGAAUACUUUCUGAAUGCACUGUAUAAAUCAAAUAGAAUGCCAUUUAUUUGGGGGUCUUGGGACACCAACACUGUAAUUGAAAGUGUCAGCCAGGGAUAUUUUAGUGAUUUUACAGCAUGAAUGUUGAUUCUGCUCUGCUCUCCUCGCCACAAUGGAACAGAAUACAUGAAUAGACACAGAAUAGAAAAGAGGAAAGCAACUAGAACUAAAGUGUGGAAUUGAAUACCAAUGAACUUUUUAAUUGCCUGUGCUAGUUGGAAUAUUCAGAAAUUUGGGAAGAAAAUAGAAAGGGGGCGAUUGUGUGUGGAGAGAGAGAGACACAGAGAGAGAGAGACAGAGAGAGAGAGACACAGAGAGAGAGAGACACAGAGAGAGAGAGAGUGAGAGACAGAGAUAGAGAGACACAGAGAGAGAGAGAGAGAGAGAGAGAGAGAGAGAGAGAGAGAGAGAGAGAGAGAGAGACAGAGAGAGACAGAGAGACACACAGAGAGAGAGACACAGAGAGAGACACAGAGAGAGAGAGAGAGAGAGAGAGAGAGAGAGAAAGACAGAGAGAGACAGAGAAAGACAGAGAGAGACAGAGAAAGACAGAGAGAGACAGAGAGAGAGACAGAGAGAGAGAGAAGAGAGAGAGAGAGACACAGAGACAGAGAGAGUUAAAGACAGAGAGACAGAGAGAGCGAGACAGAGAGAGAGAGAGAGAGAGAGAGAGAGACACAGAGACAGAGAGAGUUAGAGACAGAGAGACAAAGACAGAGAGAGAGAGAGAGAGAGAGAGAAGUGGAGACAGAGAGACAGAGAGAGAUACAGAGAGAGAGAGAGAGAAAAGAUGUCCACAUAGUUUUGGCCAUGUAGUGUAGCUACACACCGGUCACUGGACAGACCUGAAAUCAAACCACACAUCCCCAGAGUAAAAUCACAAUGUGAUUGUUAUAUUGAUGGACCAACAUUUCCUGAGGUAACACUGGGUUAGCUUCAAUCCCAGCUCUCUGAAGAGACAACACCCGUGUUGCAGUGCCACCAUGCCAGCUGUCCCUGGAUCUAGAGAGAAAGGAGAGAGAGAGAAAGAGAGAGAGAGAAAGAGAAAGGAGAGCGAAAGGAGAGAGAAAGAGAACAAAAGGGACACACUGGGCUCUGACUCAUCCAGGUUGGGCUGAGUCCCUUACAGUAUGUGUCACAGCUGGUCUCCCAGAGGAAUGAGGGAUUAUAUGAUUCAAAUCACAUGUUAUUGGUCACAGACAGGUGAUUAGCAGAUGUUAUUGGUCACAGACAGGUGAUUAGCAGAUGUUAUUGGUCACAGACAGGUGAUUAACAGAUGUUAUUGGUCACAGACAGGUGAUUAACAGAUGUUAUUGGUCACAGACAGGUGAUUAACAGAUGUUAUUGGUCACAGACACGUGAUUAGCAGAUGUUAUUGCGGGUGUAGUGAAAUGCUUGUGCUUCUAGCUUCCGACGGUGCAGUAAUAUCUAACAAAUUACACAACAUAUACCCACACAUCUAAGUAGGAAUGAAUUAAGACUAUAUACAUAUGGACGAGUGAUGUCAGAGUGGAACGGACUAAGAUACAGUAGAAUAGUAUAGAAAACAGUAUUUACAUAUGAGAUGAGUAACGCCAGAUAUGUAAACAUUAUUAAAGGGACUAAGAUAUCGUAGAAUAGUAUAGAAUACAGUAUUUACAUAUGAGAUGAGUAAUGCCAGAUAUGUAAACAUUAGUAAAGUGACUAGUGUUCCAUUAUUAAAGUAGCCAGUGAUUUCUCGUCUAUGCCUCAAGGCAGCAGCCUCUAAUGUGCUAGUUCCUCUACUUAUCAACAGCCAUGAAUAAUGUGUUGAUAUGAAUAUGACUGACGUGCAAAAGUAUCCACCUGACCAGUCAGCACACCUGUAUGUAAAUAGCCCUGUAGGUAGUUAGUAAUGGCGUUGGAACAAUUCUAAAUGAAAUAUGAGUGUAUUACUAGACAUGCAAGUUCAAUGGACUGUAAAUCUGUUGUGUGGUACACAUUACAAGUCUAUUAUUGCAAGGGAUAACAGGGAUGAGGAUGAGGCUGUGUAAAUAUAAUGAAUAUUGUACUCAGAACUUCUCUUUUUGUUUUUGAAAACACACAAACAGUAACUGUGAAAUCUGAAUUUGCAUGAACAUAAAAUCUUAAACAUUUCUCAUCUCAGCCAUCGUCUUUUAUUUUCAAAACGAGGUCAAAACAUUAUUCCAACAGAAUAAUUGGGAGGAAAAUUGUUUAAUUAUGUUUUCUUGAACUUCCAAAAGUCUUAAUGUGCUGCUACAGAGGUUUUGUAUAAUUUUAGCCCGUUGUUUUAAAAGCAGUCUUCACGAGCCAAAACAGGUCCCCAAAAAUUGUGCACAGUGUCAUCCAUUUCCUAUGAUAUGUUACAUCCUGCAAAAUCUAAAUAUUGUUUUCCUGCAAUUUGUAUAUGUUAUGAAUUCCAAUUCGUACAAUAUGUUCCAAAUUUAUAAGAUCACAUUCAAGCUCUUUAACAAUUUAUGUUCUCUCUCUGAUCUCUCUCUCUGUUCUCUCUCUGUUCUCUCUCUGUUCUCUCUCUCUCUUCUUUUGCUGUUCUCUCUCUCUUCUAUUUCUGUUCUCUCUCUUCUAUUUCUGUUCUCUCUCUCUUUGUUCUCUCUCUCUCUUCUAUUUCUGUUCUAUUUCGAUUCUCUCUCUCUUCUCUCUGUUCUCUAUCUUUCUCUUCUCUUUCUGUUCUCUCUCGGUUCUCUCCGUUCUCUCUCUCUCUCUUCUCUUUCUGUUCUCUCUCUGUUCUCUCUCUUCUCUCUCUCUCUUCUAUUUCUGUUCUCUCUCUGUUCUCUCUGUUCUCUCUCUCGCUCUCUCUCUGAUCUAUUUCUGUUCUCUCUCUCUCUUCUCUUUCUGUUCUCUCUUCUCUGAUCUAUUUAUGUUCUGUCUCUCUCUCUUCUCUCUCUGUACUCUCUCUCUCUGUUCUCUCUCUCUCUGUUCUCUCUCUGUUCUCUCUCUGUUCUCUCUCUCUGUUCUCUCUCUCUGUUCUCUCUCUCUGUCUCUCUCUCUGUUCUCUCUCUCUGUUCUCUUUCUGUUCUCUCUCUGUGCUGUCCCUUUUCACAGUCUCUCCACAGUCACCGCUGUGCCCAUCCUUCUAAAUUUACUCCAGCUCAGACAGUCAAAGAAAGUGAGAGGACACAGUCACAGACAGGUCACAGCCUAAACAUUACAACACUGUGGGGUGGUGUCCACUAAACUUUGUGGGGUGGUGUCCACUAAGCUCUGCAGGGUGGUGUCCACUAAGCUCUGCAAGGUGGUGUCCACUAAGCUCUGCAGGGUGGUGUCCACUAAGCUUUGCGGGGUGGGGUCCACUAAGCUCUGCAGGGUGGGGUCCACUAAACUCUGCAGGGUGGUGUCCACUAAGCUCUGCAGGGUGGUGUCCACUAAGCUCUGCAGGGUGGUGUCCAC